GACGUAGGGGGCAAGCGUUGUUCGGAAUUAUUGGGCGUAAAGAGCUUGUAGGCGGGAAAGUAAGUCUUUGAAUAAAGGCUAAGGCUCAACUUUAGUAAGUUCGGAGAUACUGCUUUUCUUGAGAACAGGAGAGGGGAGUGGAAUUCCUAGUGUAGCGGUGAAAUGCGUAGAUAUUAGGAGGAACACCAGUGGCGAAGGCGGCUCUCUGGCCUGUUUCUGACGCUGAGGAGCGAAAGCUGGGGGAGCGAACGGGAUUAGAUACCCCGGUAGUCCCAGCUGUAAACGAUGGACACUAGGUGUAGGAGGUAUCGACCCCUUCUGUGCCGCAGUUAACACAAUAAGUGUCCCGCCUGGGGAGUACGGCCGCAAGGCUAAA
rnacentral:rRNA from 1 species